GGCAAAGUCCGAAUCUGAAAAGGAGUUGUUCUUGUACCUGGCGGUCUCCCCUGUGGCUCUUGCAGUAGUUCUGGUUAAGGAAGAAGCAAAAAUUCAACGGUCGAUCUACUAUAUAAGUCAAGUAUUGAGAGACGUCAAAAUCAGAUAUACUAAGUUAGAGAAACUAACUUUCACCUAGUUGAUUACAGUCUAAAGGCUCCGACCUUACUUUCAAGGGCACA
rnacentral:lncRNA from 1 species